rnacentral:tmRNA from 1 species
GGGGCCGCCCGGUUUUGACAGCAUCAUGGAGGGGGAGGUGUAAGCAUGCAACGCGUUGUGUAAUUAGCGUUUAAAUCUGAAUACUCAAACUUCAAAUGGCAAUACUCAGUAUGCCAUGGCUGCCUAAUCAGUGAUUAGUUAGUCAUUAGGGCCGCCCGGGCAGGUUGAUCUGUUACCAAGCCCCGCCGCCGACUCAAAACAAAAUACAGGUUGCUGUUGCAGAAUGCCAUGACUGCAACUUAAGACCAUCUGGCUAAGCAUUGAUUCGGUUUGUCCGCUUCCUGAUCAUUGCCGACAAAUAAUAACGGAAUAAGCAUGUAGAAAGCUUUUUCAUCCGGUGUUUGGACGCGGGUUCGAUUCCCGCCGGCUCCACAA